rnacentral:rRNA from 1 species
AGUGAACGCUGGCGGUAGGCCUAACACAUGCAAGUCGAACGGCAGCACAGUAAGAGCUUGCUCUUACGGGUGGCGAGUGGCGGACGGGUGAGGAAUACAUCAGCAUCUACUUUUUCGUGGGGGAUAACGUAGGGAAACUUACGCUAAUACCGCAUAUGUCCUACGGGUGAAAGCAGGGGUUCUUCGGACCUUGCGCGAUUGAAUGAGCCGAUGUCGGAUUAGCUAGUUGGCGAGGUAAAGGCCCACCAAGGCGACGAUCCGUAGCUGGUCUGAGAGGAUGAUCAGCCACACUGGAACUGAGACACGGUCCAGACUCCUACGGGAGGCAGCAGUGGGGAAUAUUGGGCAAUGGGCGCAAGCCUGAUGCAGCCAUGCCGCGUGAGUGAAGAAGGCCUUCGGGUUGUAAAGCCCUUUUGUUGGGAAAGAAAAGCAGCAUGUUAAUACCCCGCUGUUCUGACGGUACCCAAAGAAUAAGCACCGGCUAACUUCGUG